GAUGAACGCUGGCGGCGUGCCUAAUACAUGCAAGUCGAGCGAACGGACGCGAAGCUUGCUUCUCUGAUGUUAGCGGCGGACGGGUGAGUAACACGUGGAUAACCUACCUAUAAGACUGGGAUAACUUCGGGAAACCGUAGCUAAUACCGGAUAAUAUUUUGAACCGCAUGGUUCAAAAGUGAAAGACGGUCUUGCUGUCACUUAUAGAUGGAUCCGCGCUGCAUUAGCUAGUUGGUAAGGUAACGGCUUACCAAGGCAACGAUGCAUAGACGACCUGUGUGGGGGAUAGGCCACACGAGAGCGUGACCGCGGUCCAGACUCCUACGGGAGGCAGCAGUAGGGUACCGUCGGCAAUGGGCGAAAGCCUGACGGAGCAACGCCGCGUGAGUGAUGAAGGUCUUCGGAUCGUAAUACUCUGUUAUUAGGUAAGAACAUAUGUGUAAGUAGCUGUGCACAUCUUGACGGUACCUAAUCAGAAAGCCACGGCUAACUACGUG
rnacentral:rRNA from 1 species